rnacentral:rRNA from 1 species
GCGAAAUACGAUACGGGACUCAUCCGAGGCCCCGUAAUCGGAAUGAGUACACUCUAAACCCUUUAACGAGGAUCAAUUGGAGGGCAAGUCUGGUGCCAGCAGCCGCGGUAAUUCCAGCUCCAAUAGCGUAUAUUAAAGUUGUUGCGGUUAAAAAGCUCGUAGUCGAAUUUGUGUCCCGCGCCGCCGGUUCAUCGCUCGCGGUGUCAACUGGCGUGUCCGCGGGACGUCCUGCCGGUGGGCUUAGCCCCUGUGGGCGGCCCAAUCUCAAUCCCACCGCGGUGCUCUUCACUGAGUGUCGAGGUGGGCCGGCACGUUUACUUUGAACAAAUUAGAGUGCUUAAAGCAGGCUAAAACAUCGCCUGAAUACUGUGUGCAUGGAAUAAUGGAAUAGGACCUCGGUUCUAUUUUGUUGGUUUUCGGAACCCCGAGGUAAUGAUUAAUAGGAACGGAUGGGGGCAUUCGUAUUGCGACGUUAGAGGUGAAAUUCUUGGAUCGUCGCAAGACGGACAGAAGCGAAAGCAUUUGCCAAAAACGCUUUCAUUGAUCAAGAACGAAAGUUAGAGGUUCGAAGGCGAUCAGAUACCGCCCUAGUUCUAACCAUAAACGAUGCCAGCUAGCGAUCCGCCGACGUUCCUCCGAUGACUCGGCGGGCAGCUUCCGGGAAACCAAAGCUUUUGGGUUCCGGGGGAAGUAUGGUUGCAAAGCUGAAACUUAAAGGAAUUGACGGAAGGGCACCACCAGGAGUGGAGCCUGCGGCUUAA